rnacentral:rRNA from 1 species
UACGGAGGGCCCAAGCGUUAUCCGGAAUCAUUGGGUUUAAAGGGUCCGUAGGCGGUUUUGUAAGUCAGUGGUGAAAGCCCAUCGCUCAACGGUGGAACGGCCAUUGAUACUGCAAGACUUGAAUUAUUAGGAAGUAACUAGAAUAUGUAGUGUAGCGGUGAAAUGCUUAGAGAUUACAUGGAAUACCAAUUGCGAAGGCAGGUUACUACUAAUGGAUUGACGCUGAUGGACGAAAGCGUGGGGAGCGAACAGG